rnacentral:rRNA from 1 species
AGAGUUUGACUCCUGGCUCAGGACGAACGCUGGCGGCGUGCCUAACACAUGCAAGUCGAGCGGGGAUUACGGAAGAGCUUGCUCAGAAGUAAUUCUAGCGGCGGACGGGUGAGUAACGCGUGAGCAACCUGCCUUCAACAGGGGGAUAACGCUUCGAAAGAAGUGCUAAUACCGCGUAAGACCACGAGGUCACAUGGCCAUGGGGUCAAAGGAGCAAUCCGGUUGAAGAUGGGCUCGCGUCCGAUUAGCUAGUUGGUGAGACAACAGCCCACCAAGGCGACGAUCGGUAGCCGACCUGAGAGGGUGAUCGGCCACAUUGGAACUGAGAAACGGUCCAGACUCCUACGGGAGGCAGCAGUGGGGAAUAUUGGGCAAUGGGCGAAAGCCUGACCCAGCAACGCCGCGUGAGGGAAGAAGGGUUUCGGCUCGUAAACCUCUGUCCUGAAGGGCGAACGCAAUGACGGUACUUCAGGAGGAAGCCCCGGCUAACUACGUGCC